rnacentral:misc_RNA from 1 species
CAAAUCAAACUGAAAAUCUUUCAAAAAUGAUUCAGUAGAGAUAGCAAAAUAUAUGAAGGCAAAAAUGGUGGUAGAUCCAAACACUAACAGCUUCUCAAAUUUUGCAGGUAAUUGACUCAACUGUUAUAAACAUCGGAAUCUAAAUAAUUGAUACGGGUGCAUCUAACCAUAUUUAUUUAGAUUUAUCCCUUUCUUCAGAACCUCCUAAUGGGUACUGUUG